rnacentral:lncRNA from 1 species
GCGGAAGUGGCCUGAGCUUUUAGGAUUUACCAUCAAGUCAUUGUGUCACUUCCUAUGGACCCUAUGUGAUGGUUAAUAUUGAUUGUCAACUUGAUUGGAUUGAAGGAUGCAAAGUAUUGUUCCUGGGUGUGUCUGUGAGGGUGUUGCCAAAGGAGAUUUGAAUCAUUUGAGUCAGUGGACUGGGAGAGGCAGACCCACCCUCAAUCUGCCAGCAUGGCUAGGCUAGAAUAAAGCAGGCAGAAGAAGGUAAAGGAGCAGACUUGCUGAGUCCUCCGGCCUUCAUCUUUCUCCUGUGCUGGAUGCUUCCCGCCCUCGAACAUCAGAUUCCAAGUUCUUCAGCUUUUGGACUCUUGGACUCUGGACUUACGCCAGUGAUUUGCCAGGGACUCUCAGGCCUGGCAAGACUCUCAGGCAGACCGAAGGCUGCGUCGUCGGCUUCCCUACUUUUGAAGUUUUGGGAUUCAGACUGGCUUCCUUGUUCCUCAGCUAGCAGAUGGCCUGUUGUGGGACUUCACCUUAGUUUUUUUUGUUUCGUUUUGUUUUGUUUUUGAGACAAGGUCUCACUCUGUCGCCCAGGCUGGAGUGCAAUGGCUCAAUCUUGGCUCACUGCAACCUCCGCCUCCCAGGCUCAAGCAAUUCUCCUGCCUCAGCCUCCUGAGUAGCUGGGACUACAGGAACACACCACCACGCCUGGCUAAAAGGGACUUCACCUUGUGAUCAUAGAGGACAAAGGAGCACAUGCUCAAAAAGAAGUAGAUUGGGAGUGCCUGCGGACCCAGAGACUGACCAUCAAAGAAGACAGGAAAGUUAAGGCUCAGAGUGGCCAAGUGACUUCCUCAUGACAUUUCAGCAUUGACUUGUGGCCUCCCAAUCACAAACCUGGACCCUGUGAAUACCAAAAUCUGGGGAUACUCAAGUCCCUUAUAUAAAAUGGUAUAAUGGUGCAUAGCCCAUGCACAUAAUCUCUAGAUUACUUAUAAUAUCUAAUACAAUGUAAGUGGUAUGUAAAUAGUAGUUAUACUUUAUUGAUUUUUAUUUGUAUUUUUAGCUGUUGUAUUGUUAUUGUUUUUUAUUCCCAAAUAUUUCCCAUCUGCCAUUGGUUGAAUACAGGAUGCAGAACUGGAGGAUAUGAAGGGCUGAGUGUAGUUAGUAAAUUCAUAGAUAAGGAUCUUUCUUAUCAGAAUCAAAUAAAUGCAAAUUAAAAAACAAAAAUGUAAUGUCUUAGCUACUGAAUUUAUUUUCCCUAAAAUUAACAAUACCUAAUACUAGAAGCAGCAUCUUCAAAACUGGUUGUUGGUCUAGGAGACUGUGGUUAAAUUUCUUUUUUAGUCUUGAAGGCUUCAUAAUGCCCACAAUAUAUUUAUUUUCUCUCGUCUUUGGGAAAAGAAAAUCUGUGACUUUUCCUAUUAUUCUGAAGUAACUCCCACAAAGACUUCAAUGCACCUUCCUCAGAAAGACAAAUUUUGCAUCAUUGCAACAAUAAGUAUUUAUACUUUGUAAGGCUUGCAAACUUCCAUUGAGAAAGCAUUGCUCAAAAUAUUUGCCAGUUUGCGGUUUAAUGACACCUCAAGUGACAUUAUGUCUUUGCUGUCACUCACAUUUCCUAGAAGAAUUUUUAAGGGAUGGAAAGAAAUCCUCCAGGUUGUAAUAGAACCCCAGUUUUGAGGGGUUUAUUAUUUUGGACCUACAAAAUAAUUAUAAUCAGACAGCUUAAAUCAGUGUGGUAAUAUUUGCGUGCUGUACUGUAAUACUGUUUUGCAUAAAGAAUAAAGGGACAAUGAAAUAACACUUUGAUUGUUUUUUCUAAUACUUGAAAUUUUAAAAUAUUUGCUUCAUUGUGUAUUUUUCAAAAUGCAGACAUUAGGCCUGGCUUAAACAGUGAUCCUGUUUUGGUAGGCAUUCAAUAAUAUUGCACGUGGCACCAUCCUUUGGAAAAUUGUUUUAUGUAUCAAUAACUUAAAAAUAUUAUGGGCUAGGUGUAGUGGCUCACGCCUGUAAU